rnacentral:rRNA from 1 species
UACGUAGGGUGCAAGCGUUGUCCGGAAUUAUUGGGCGUAAAGAGCUCGUAGGCGGUUUGUCGCGUCUGCUGUGAAAACUCGGGGCUUAACUCCGGGCCUGCAGUGGGUACGGGCAGACUAGAGUGCGGUAGGGGAGACUGGAAUUCCUGGUGUAGCGGUGAAAUGCGCAGAUAUCAGGAAGAACACCCGUGGCGAAGGCGGCUCUCUGGGACGGUACUGACGCUGAGACGCGAAAGCGUGGGGAGCAAACAGG